rnacentral:lncRNA from 1 species
CACUUCUUGUUAGCCUUGAGACAAAGUAGCAUAAUGUUUUAGCAUGCAAGAUUAUAUUAACAUUUUGGUGUGUGAUGAACUUGAAUUAAGUCAUCUGUCCUUUCUCUCACACACCUGGAAUAUAGCCCAAGAUGUAGUGACACAAUCAACUGCUCAAGUUUCCUUCUUUCUAUUCUCUUUCUUCAUGAUAUUGAUUUUACACGUGAACCAAUCACAUUGGAAAUCCUUUCAUGAUUCAGGAUACUUCUGUGCAAACAAAUGUUCAAAAAGCUUUGUGACGGUAAAAUCCAAGAUUAUUGGCACAUCGACGAAAAAUAGGCAUUCCAUCCAAGAUUAAAAGAAAAUAGAACAUCAGAACACUAACAUUCAAGAAAAUGAACCUAAAGAAAAACAUAUGGUCACAUCAUCAUAACCAUGUGGCAAAUCAUAUAAAGGUCAGAAAAGUUACAACAAGCCAACUCAUGAAAGUAGAACUUCACAAACACAUGGUACAUAUCUAAACAAAACUAAAGAUCAAAAAUCCAAAAACAUCCAUCAGGAAAGAGAAGUGAGCCAACACAUGGCUAUGAACAAAUGGACAAGCUGACAAAAGAUUUGAGAUACUUGUCAUGAAGCAGAUUUAUUUAAAUAAACAGAAACAGAAUCAAGUAACAAACACUGCUUUAACAAAUUCCAAAUCCAUGUAGCUAUAAUACACACACACACACACAGAGAGAGAGAGAGAGAGAGAGAGCACUACCCGAUCUUUAAAGAAAUCAGAAUUAUCAUGAGAGGCCCAAAGGAAACAAAAAUCAUUUGACAGUAAGCAGUUGUCCGCUGGCUUCAAACUAUGUGUCCAAACUCCAGCCACCACCAUGCAAAAAUGAAGAAAGAAGGGAUUUACCCCCUAUGAACACUGUUAUUAAAAAUCUCUUCCCUGAGAAUAGAUGGAGAUGAUAAGGCAGAUCAAUUCUAAAGGAUUGCCAACAUCUGAAGUCUGCUGAUAUGAAUUUGUGAUAAUGGAAAAUUUUACUACAACUUUAUGAUGACUACAUCAAAGACAGCUCUUCAUUUUGACCACCAUAUGAUACUCUAUACAAAUGUAAGUGACAUGCAUAUUGCUCGGCAGCAGCUGAUACAAGAAAAAACCGAUGCAUAACAUUACAAGUUUCUCAAAGCUCAGGGCGAGCUCCAGGCCACCAAUGUCUCAUGUGAGGGAAAUCAAACAUCUUGCAAGAAAAAGAACAUGAAAAGAAAAUAAAGAGAUAUAACAAGUAGCUUUCCAAAUGAAUGUUCAGUACAACAACUCAACAUUAACUGUUACACGAAAAUUAUACAUUUAUGUUAGUGAUUGACAAUCAAGCAUGUUAUUCAUACACAGCAAAAAGACCACCUGCUCUUUUCAGGAGUAAUGUACUGUAACUUGAGGGGAAAAAAAAAGAUGUAUAGAUAAUCUCCUGCAACAGAGGAAGGCUUCAGCUGAUAGGAAAAUCUAGGGAAAAAUAAUAUCAAUUAAAAAAAGGAAAUAUGAAUCCAAAUAUCAGCUACUCUCAAAAUCAUCACAGACUCUUCUCUGACAAUGCAAUGAUGGCCCUAAAGAAAACAUAUCCAGGCCACGGAAGUAUGAAUUAAAUGGCCUACUUUAGAUCAGAGAUUGAACACCAAGUUGCUGCAUUUCUCGUAACUUCCACACAGGGUAAUAAGCUCCCUCUCCAAGCUCCUCGACAUCCAUUUGUUGCAUAGCCCAAGCAUAAUAUACGGUAUGGAUUGUAUCCUGCAGAAAAAACACCAAAUAAUUUAAUUCAGAAGGAAAGAUUUCAUCAUUUGUAAAAUCGUAAGAAAACAAGAUAGAGAUGGCAAAUAGAUCAAUAAUUGGAGCAGUAUACACCAAUUUCUAAAAUCCAGAAACAUGGAAUGACCCUCAAGCCAAUAAUCUGGAAAUCAGAAUUAAGAAUCCUCAGGCAAAAUUUUCAUUAGAGGCUACAUCCAUAUUAUGAUAAACCCACACCUUCAUUCCUCACCCAUCAACAUAUGUUGGUGCCCUCUCCUUUCCUAGCCCUGACCAAAUCUUCAUCCCGCAUGCUGUUACUAUAUUGGUCUUCACCCUAUCAGUUUAUGCAACUCUCUCUAAGCAAAUGUAUUCACAAGUGAAAUUUAGCUAAUAUGAUAAAAAGAAAAGUUGCAUACUGCUAAUCUUAUGAAGACUGGAUAGUUCUAGUUAUCAUGGUACUUAUGUCAACUUGUCAGAUCCAUUCUGCUUUAAAUAUGUUAGGUUUUGAAGAUGUUAGUGUAAUCUAUCUUACAUGCACAAGAACUAGGUUUGACAAUUAUGACUGACUUUCUGUAAUCCAUCUAUGAAGUGAUGCAAAACUUUUGAUUCUCAACAAUAAAGUUUGGUUUAAAAAGCAAAUAACAAAGGGAUUUCAGAAGUAAAUCUAGAAGAGACCACAAACACAGCAAAACUGAAUAACCCAAAAUAAUAAGGAACCUAUAAGCCUAAAUAGGUGGAAAAAGAAAUACGACCAAAAAACAAUGAAAUCUAUCAUAAAGAUGUCAAUCGAAAGCGAACAAAAAGAACACGGACCCCUAGGACAUCAUGGUAAAAAAUAGGCAAGAACAUCUGGAUGGAGAAAGAGAAGGGGGUCAGAAACCUUACUGGGUACGUAAGGCAAAAUCACUGCACUUGACUGGGGACAAGCAAAGACGAGGUGGUGAAAAGGCUGGAAGGAAACCAAGACAACCACCAGCACAGUUUUGAAGAAGAAACGAACAGAAAUAAUGCGGGCGAAAGAAAAGGAACAAAAUAAUAGAAUAGUAAAGGUAGGAGAGAGGGGCAGCUUGGGCUCUAUAUCCACGAAGCGGGGAGGGAGGGGGGCCAAAAUCUAUGUAAGGACAAUUUGCGAGACAUGACCUACUGUUAACCUUUGGAUCCCCAUAGAACAGCCUUAGUUCAUCUAAUCAGUCCCUUGCUAUCCUAUGGUCUAAAAAGAAAUAUAGUUUACAGUAAAUCUCACUUGUAUAUAAUGUCUCUGGAAGAUAUACAAGUAACCAAGGUUCGUCAUCUCAGUACCGGAUCCCAUAUUGGCACCAUCUUAUUACAGUAUUGGUACGCGGUAUGCUACUAGACGGUGAGAUGUACCGAAUGUCAGUAUGGUACGAAUAUAGUACGAGACGGUGAGUCAUACUGAGUGUCGAUACAGUACGAAACUAAGAACCAGUUUAAUACCAAUAUGGUACGCCCAAUACAGUAUGGUAUUGACCGAUGUGGCAAACUUGUAAGUAACCUUGUAGCUGUCGCAAGACAAUAUAAGAGGGGCAUAAACAACAUCUAUGGAAUCAAUCUCUGCAUGAAAGGAAAACGGCUUAAAUAAAAAAAAAAACAAUCAGCAGAAAUUAUAGAAAACUUAAGCAGAAGAGAGUCCAGAGAGGUCCAAGAACCAAACGACGUAUCUAUAAUAUUCCAGCAGAAGUCCUAUUCCUCAUUAAGUAUUUGUAGGCUACACAAAAGAAUGUUACGAGAACUGCGACUGUACAUGCAAGGAAUUCCAUACAUGUAGGACAUGUGCAUGCACAUAAACACAGAAGAAAUGUUUGUAUGAACGAAGUUCAUUUAAAAUAUGUUACAUAUAGUUCAUGAUACAUCCCACCAAAAAUAAGUAUUAUGCUUCAUUUCCAUAUAAAUAAGCUAGAAUUUUGUCAUACUGCAGUAUGAACUAUCUGAAAAAAAUAUUUAAUGGUGCAGGAGGAAUGCAAAAGGAAAGCUUCUUUAUUUCUAAGAUGGGGCUCCAAAAUAAAGCUUUCUCAUAUUUUUAACAUAAGUGAAGAAUAUGAUAAAUUGAACUGUGGUGUACAAAGUAUAAGACCUGUCUGCAAUAGUUCUUAGAACUAGUAUCAGGAUUUUAGAACAUGGAUCAACACUACAAGACCCUUCAAACACUUGAGAUUCAUGCCCAUCUCUUUUACUUACUGCUAACAAACCCCCUUAUCCAAAGUAUGGAUAGAACAACAUCAUGUGAAAAAGUGUGAGCAAAAAGGAAAAUUACUUCAUUAAUGAAGUCUUAUAUUCCACUUAAUUAACUUUGUUAUCUUGAGUUGUUGGGACCUUCAUAAAAAAAUCAACAGAUAUGAAAUGUGUGGCUGGACUUGAUAAAUUCAAAUAUGGUAAAUGUAUCUCCUAAUAGUAAUACUAAUACAUAGGUAUAACGAUAUAUUAUAAAGAAAGGGUUAAACAUCUAAAGUUUACAAGGAAAUGGAAGAUCAUUGAAACCAAGGAAUGUCGUACCGGCCCGUACCGGUUUCAAAUUUUUUUUGAAGCUUUUGAAUGCGUGAACAAAACCGAACCAGUAGUACUGGUUUGGUAUCGGUCCGAACCGGUAGCGGUGCCCACCAGUACGUCGGUACGGUUGAUACGGCGGAUCUUGACUGAAACAAAUCACAUAAGGAGAUAUGCCCCCUCAAAGAGGCAAAAGGAGUGCAGUCUCUUCUAGAUACCUGAUAUACGACAUGACUUUUUCUAAAUAUUCCCCUCUUUUUGCUUUCAAAGGCCGAAUCUAUACCAAAGACUAUCAGAGAACCCUCGAAGAUACCAUUCAUAUCCAAUAAGAACUACACUCACAAGUUUCCAUAUUGGUUUAGAGCAUCAACUAAGUUGACUGUUUGACUCAAAGCAUCAAUAAUCAAGAACAAGAAAUUAAAAAUGGUGAGCAAGUUGGAUGUGAAAACUUAAAACAAGAUUCCAUCAGGUGAGAUGGAAUGUUUAUUAAUAGAUUGAUUAAAUCCGAAACUACUAAAUGUAAUCUCUUGAAAGAAAUCAUUGGAAAUAUAAGAAUAUAUAGAUUUCAUUAAGAAAACAAGAAAAACAAGCUCAAAAUGGUGGAAGGAAGAUACUAACACUUUGCAAAGAUUUUAUGCUUUUUCUAUCUUUGCAACUAAAAGGAAUAAAAGACAUCUUUUCUUAACCUCCUUAGGCAUUCUGGUGGAUGCAAGCAAGCACUUUCAGGGAGCCCAUAUUUUAUUAAAUGUUCCAUAUACAAGGUAUUUCUGAUCAUGUUUGAAGUCACUUGUACAGACAGUGCACAAUCUCAGCACAUGAAGAUAAGCAUGCGAAAAGAAUGCAUGAUAAUAGAUGCAACUUAUCUCAAUCUUCGACACCUAAUUAAUUUUACCUUUCCUCCAGCAGUUAUUGAUCCCUGUCUAUCACGCACACAGUAGAUCUGCUGCGUUUGAAACUGCCAUUCAAAUUGAACGAAAAACAGCUCAACAACCAAGGAAAAGGUUCCCAAUCUCAGUUAUGAUUUUACAAAAAAUAAGCAUGUGAAGAAAUAUUAACAACUAAUUAGUGCGACAAAGUUACGUAGAAUUCUUACAGCUAUGAUUAUAAUGGGAGUAGACCCCAUCAUUUUGGUUUCUCUAACAUCAACCUCAGAAAUAUGUAGAAUCUGCAGCAUCAAACAGAAAAAAGAAUCAGACUGGCAUGUAGUGCUCCAUGGUAGCAGGAUAAGUCCACCAGGUUAACAGAGUUGUCAGAUUUAUAAGUAGAAUGUAACUUCCAACCAUUGUGACCUCAACAAGAUUUGGUCAGAAAGUAAAUGGGGAACUUUAAAAACUCUCAAUUCUGCAAAAUUUGUGAAGAAAGGCAAAAAGAGUUAAGAGUCUUUUUGAUUUUUUUUUCAGUUAUUUGCAAUGUAGCAUGGAAGAAGGGGCUCAACAGGAUCUAGGAAAAUUGCAGAAAAAUCAUAGAACAUUCUCGAAUUAACUACAAAAUGGGAAAGUAUGUUUCUUUGGGAAAGAAAGCAUGCAUCAACAGUUCAAGUUUGUGAACUAUUCAGGAACAUUCCAACAAAUUAGAGACUUAUAUGACUAGGUUCCUACCAUAAACGAGAAAAAUGAAGGACAUCUAACAUCUUAUUAUAUCAUCUUUUAUAUAUAUCUAAAAUGAAGGCUCAGCUUAUGCGAAGUUCUCCAUUCACUACAUGGACACUGGUGUUAACAACACCAAUAUUAAUAUGCUCGGCCAUUAAAGUUCAUUGUUUAAUGUGUAAAGUAUAUUAAUAACGCCAGUAUUAAUAUGCUCAGUCAUCAUUCAAGUUCAUUGCCUCAUGUAACAAAAAUUUGGCUAUUGAAGCCUUCUAUUUAUUAUAAUUUGUUACAAUGUUAUAGUGCUUCAAAAACAGUGGAAAAACAGAGGAAAAAACCAUACCCGUGCAUUGCGUUGGGCUGAUACUAAUGAUGGGAGUUUUUGCUCAGCCAUAUUAAAGUUCAUUGCUUAAGGUGCAACAAGAAUUUGGCUAUUGAGGCCUUCUAUUUAUUAUAACUUAUUACAUUGCUAUAUUGCAUUUCAGGAACAGUUAAAAAAGGAGAAAACAAACCAUAACCCACACAUCGCACGGGUUAUAUACUAUUUGAUUAUUAAAAUUGAGCUAUUAUGAGAGUCUCUCCAUUAAAAGUGGAAAUUAAGGAGAAAAUGCAAAAUGCAUGCAAAUGGUCACAAUGCAGUGAAGGAUAAGCACAUUACAAUAUUUACUGGUCUCAGAUGCAGCGUGUCACUGUAUUACAUGACAAGAUCAAUGCAUACACAAAUGUGAUAUAUCAAAUGUGAAACCUCUUAUAUUACAAAAUCAUCAAAAUCUUCCUUCAUUUACAGUUAAUCAAAGACCACAACCAAUUAAUACUAAAAGCUCACAGUGCUACAGAUCUUCAUGAAAUCAAGAGAACUUCUUGGUAGAGUUGGGUUAAGAAUAUGAGUGUAAAGAUAUAGAUUGUAUAUAUAUAUAUAUGAUGAAAAAUGCAGCCAAUAAUACUCUUAUUUUCACGAAAUACAUUACAGACUUCAACAAAGAUGGUAAAGACAAAACUAAAGCAUUGAUCAACAAGAUAACCGCACAUAUCAGAGUUAGUCUGAGCUUUAAACUUAAGAGAAAAGGACUGUGGAUAAUAAGCAAGCAAUGGCAUAACUCUGUGGACCAAGUACAAGGCACUCGCUGAUUUGGCUCUGACAUGAUAUGCAUGUGCAAUGCAUGAGAUAGUGACAUGGAUAUGACGAUAAAUAAGAGACAUUUGUAGGAUCUUCAAGAGGCUUGUCGCUAGCAAAAAGAAAUUUAAAAUAAUGUUUUGUUGCAGUAGCAGAAGUGCACAUGUCCGGCAGACAAGUAUAGCUACUGCAAUCACAUGUCAAUCAUUGUCAAUGCAACAAUUAUCAUACAAAAUACAACAAAAGGAGGCUGGAGAGAUUGAGACCAUUGUUCAUCUCAAUCAAAAUGUGAGUAUGUUCAAAUAUGAAAUGGUAGAAAAUUUAAUAGCUUCUUAAUAUUAUCAACAUGCAGAAGAAUUAUCUGAAAACCCACCAUGCGAAGGAUGAACAAGUUCUGCAGUAUGCAAAAGCAUCUAGUGUUCUCGAAGUAAUCUAAUAACAAGUGAACUAAUAACCUUAUAGCACCACAAGCAUAGGAUCAUGAAAUAGAAUCUCUUUUAAUGAUGGCUGAAAAACAUAUAAUACUAAAAUGACUUAACUACUGCUUACCUCUAUAUCAUGCCAAUAAAAAUAGAUAGAUAUUUGUUUUUUCCCUAGCCAUUAAAGUCCAUAAAAAGGCAUUUGUAUGUGCAAUUACACAAAUGGGACAAAUUCAUCUUUGCUAAGAAACCACAGAAUAUUAUUUUCUUCAAGCUUUUUAGUCUCAGUACCAUACCCUAUACACAACUUACAUGUACAGAUCAGGUCAGUAUGGUAUGGUCCUGUAUAGACGCAUGGUACAUUGUUGGAGUCAAAGCAGUAGCUGUAUGAUGUGCCUACAAGGGCAUGCUAAGCCCUUGUAUCAUGCCAGUAUUCUACCAAGUCAGUAUCAUACGUUGCAUCAUACAGGUAAGUGCAAAUCGGUACUGCAAAUACUGAUUUUCUUGAUUAUACUAUUAAUAACUUGAACAUAUCAUAGUUAUAAAACCAGAUCUGGACAGGCUUGUACAACCAAAAAACUGCCGAACUGGACCCUAGGCUGGCCUGGUUCCCCAAAAAGACUGACAAUAUAGUUAAACCAUCUAAAUAUUGCCAACUUGACCAGUUUUAGGAAAAAAUUGGUGAACCGAACAAUUCACUCAAAACUAGCUAGUUUUCUCAUUUAGUCAAACAACCAUUUUGCCCCUGAUUUUUAAAUUCAAUUCUUCUUUAAAUCAGAAGCAUUUACAUAUUUUCAUAUUAAUAAAAUUAAAAUAGGAAAAAGCCUAAUUCAACCCUCAUCUAGCCUAAUCCCCUUUUGUAUCUUCUCUAUAUGCUCCCUAAUGGCUCCUUGCUCUCCAACAACCCGGUCACGAUACUGGUGGCAGAUGUUGGUGGUUUCUCAUGCAGCCCCCCUCUCUUUCUCCCUCUCUACCAGCCCUCUCCCUUUCCUUCCUCUCUCGUUGUUUCACCUCCUUCCCGGCCUCCCCUGCCCGGUGGCUAGCAACAGAGGAUUGCUUGGCCUCCUCCCAACUAACCUCGCCUUCCCUCCAUCCCGCCUCCUGACUGCCCCUAUGGCUGUGGCUUGCCAUCAUGGCUGACAACAAGCAGCACAGGCCAUGCUGUAUUCCCCUCCCCCACCCUGCCCCUUCUUCUCUUUUCCCCUCUUUGCUUUGAUUUCCCCUACCCUAUUCUCCCUUCUUCCUCCUUGAUAUGUUCAUAUAAUUAAUAUCUUUGUAAUUUAUUUAAUUGACAUGUAAUAUUUUAGAUUUUGUAAAAAAUAAAUGAUGAAGAAUGUUUUAUAUUUAUGAUAAUUAGAGGUAUGGUGAAUUAUUUAAAUAUAAUAUUUAUAUAUCUAUUUAUCUUUUUCCUUUUACAACAUUAAUGAUUAUUUUUUGAGCAAAACAGCAUUAAUAUUAUGAAUUGCUAAUAUUGUAUGAUAAAAUAUGAUAAUUACGUUAUUUGAGACUUGAGAUACCAUACAAGUUAUAAUAAAAUAUAAGCUAUUGAUGAUAAUUUCGAAUUUAUAACAUUUAAAAGAAAUAAUUUAUCAUUAGGUAUACAUGUUUUUGUAUUAUAUAAAUUUUUAGUAUUUUUACAACUGUUAAAACUUUUAAGAUAUUCAACCCAACUAGUUGACCCAGUAGUUGGACCAUAGACCAAGUGACCCGGCCUCUUGGUCAGUCUGGGUUUGAUAACUAUGGAAGAUAUAUUAGAACUAAAACACAACAAGUUUCCUUGUGGAUUUUCCUAUAUGUGGCCUUUCUUUGGUUUCCUAAUUUAUUCUAGAUAUUUAUAUGCCACUACCCUUGGUGCUUAAUUUUCAUCACAACUGCAACAGGCAUAACCGCAUACCCAUGAAUAUCAAGCCUUGUCCUCAAGUAUUUGGGUCAAUUGACGGUUUCAUAUGCCUUUUACCACUGACUGUCAACCUUUUUAAUCCUGGCUUGUUGCCUAUUCUUCAAUCAAAAAAAAACGUGUAUAAAAUCAGCUAUAUUAUGUAGAUCAUUCAUCAACAAGCAAGGUCAAAUUGGCAUCUUAAACACAUAUUUUUUGAAUUACAUGUAAAUAAUUUCCAACCCAUCCUUAAUACCUUGUUAUCAAAAAACAUGCCCUGGCUCUCAUAAGCCAUGUGCUCUCCUUUACAUCGUUCAAUCACUUCACGGCUACAAUACUUUUUCAAAGUUUCCACAUCAGCCUGCACAUCACAACAUGUUGCUUAGGUUCCAUUUUCAGAAAAUCAAAAUCAAAGGCACAGCUUAUAAUCAAAGAGGUGUUCACAUAAACAGCUUGCAGAUAUAAAUGGUAAGAAAAUGAGAAAACAUAUCAAUUUUGAAUUAAUGACAAAAAUUACUUUGAAGUAUGCGACCAAAACAGGUCUGAUCAUUUCCUGAACUUCGGCUACAAAAUCUGGCAGAGAAAAAGAUCUGCAACAUGCAGAGUUUCACGGAAUAUCAACAAAUCAGUAAAAAUUAUAAUUUAACUUAUGGUAGUUCACAAAUAGUUUGUAUCUUACGGGUCUCGACGUCGAAUUUCCUUGAAACAUAAGGCAGCCGCAUUUUCUCCAAAAACAGUUUCAUUCAAGCUGCAAAUAUUUAACUAAACACAUAAAUAUUGUGUGUUUCUACCUGAGAGAUUUUAACAAGAGAACAUAGUCACAAAAGAAAAGUUAACAAUAUUAUAUCCUGUAGAGUUAAACAUUUGUAAAAGUAAGAUAUUUCUCACAUUUUCUAGACUUAACCUCUGAUUCUAAAAAUAAUUCAAAGCUUCCAUAAAGGUCCUGAAAACCCUACCAUAUAGAUCUGACAAACUACUACAUGGUCCAACUCUCUGCUAGCAUUUCAUCUAGUGGAAAUAGAUGAAGGGUCAACUAGAAGGAAAGCAAACAAAGGGGUCAAAUUAUCACCAGGUUCAGCCAUAUCCCAAUUAUAAACAACUAUUGUUGGGCAUGGAGAUGCAUGUGAGAGAAAGAUGGAUGGGUGUGAUCACUCUCUUCAGACUAAGAUUCAAAAAUAUUAAAAUAUGAACACCUACUUUUCCAAUGCUAGCAACCAUGUGGAUGAAGUUUCUCAUACUCAUAAAAUGAUGGAGAAGUGAGAUUAUACAUGCAAAAAAAAAGUAGAUUGCAUGGCAUGCUAGUCGAGCUACAAAUCUCUCCUUUACAUAUAGAGUUAUUCAUAACAAUGCACAAAAAAACUCAUGUGACCCUUCCUUCCAGACCCUUGAUCUACACAAGCACGGGACAACCAAUUAUUAAGGAUGCAAAUGCGUCAUGAACAAUACAGUCAAGCUGAAAUAGACGUGUUGAGUUAAUACAAAAAGAUGACUGAUUAAGUGACAUGGCAUUCUAUUCCUCUGUUUCUGUGAAUUUGGUCAAUGAACUCAAUGCCAUUCUACUCAAAAUCAAUCCACAGUUGACCCAGGAUAUCCUCUCUCUUUUCCUUUACUUAAUGCAGUUAAAUGCUGAUAGGUGGUGAAAAUGACAAUGGUCAGUUGUAAGCAAGCAGGGAACAAUGGCAAUGGGCCACAUGCGGUGCCAAAUAGACAGGUUGAGUUAAAACAAAAAGAUGAUCAAGUGGCAUGACAUUCUAUUCCUCUUUUUCUGUGAAUUUAGUCAAUGGACUCAAUUCCAUUUACUCAAAAUCAAUCCACGGUUGACCCAGGAUAUCCUCUCUCUUUUCUUUUACUCACUGCAGUUAAAUGCUGAUAGGUGGUGAAAAUGACAGUGGUCAGUUGUAAGCAAGCAAGCAAGCAGGACACAAUGGCAAUGGGCCGCUUGUGGUGCCUCCCCUCACCACCCCGGCCCCCCCCCACCCCUCCACCCUUUUCAAAACCCAAAAAGAAAAAAAACAGCCUGUCUGAGUCCUCUACUGUGCACCACUAUAUCCUACCCUAACCUCAUCAACCUAAGGUUGGAUAGAGUCAGACAAAACUAAGCUUGAGCAUAACAAGAAAUCAGGAUGUAGUUUUAUCAAGCUCAAGCCAGGUUGGUCAGAUCAACAUUAGAUAGAAUCAUGCCCAUGUCAAUGUCCAGGCCCGAUAGACCGUCAUAUCAAACUCAAAAGUCUUGACCUGGUGCAAUUACAGACCAACCACACUAUUGAAAUUUCACAGGGUUAUCAAUGGAACUCAUAAUCACAAAAUCCAUAAUUAAAAUUGGAAUAUGUGACUGCAAAUUACCGCACUAGCAAUAAAUUAGAUAAAAAAUACUACAAAAUUGUCGAUCGUUGAUAAAAGGAACAUGCAUAAAAGACUGAAAUCAACUUUUACCAGCAUCCAUUCUAUUGGAUAAUAUUUAAACAAAAAUCUUAAACUUUUGUAUAAGUAGGUGAUAACGUCAAAUCAUUUUAAAGACUAUCUGCAUCUGAAGCUUCAUGAGAUUUUCAGAUCCAAAUUUUGCAUAUUGGCAGGUUCUAUAAGUCCCCUAAGAGGACCACUAUAGUUGAAGAUAUGUCCAAACAGAGAUAGAUGGUUGGAAGGUUUCUAUACAAAAAACAUGCAUGUUCUGAAAAAACACAAGUGACAACUUAUAACUAAGAGGUGAACAUUUUGGAAUGCAAUUAAAAUUUUAAGAACCUCACUGGCAGAUUAUAUCAUAACAGCAGAAACAGGUAGAUGUGCUAAUCAUUUAAUUUGAAUGGAUUUCCUGCAAGAUUGCAUGAAAAAUGGAAGAAACCUAACAUGAUGGAACACUUCACCUUUUAACAGCUUCCAAAAGCAUGCUUAAGUUGUAGUUUUCAUUUUUGCGACAUUCAUGAGAGGUUUUGAAUCACUUGAUGCCCAGAUACAGAAAGCUUGAUAAUAUAAAUUUCCCUUCAAAUUGGUUAGAGACUUUUUUUAAAGAUAUUUUAAAAAUCAAAAUAUCAUUCUAUAUGAAAACUACAAUGCUGCAGAAAACAAUGAGUCAAGUUCUUUUGGUAAUUACAGAAGUGGCCCUAAAGCAGACACAAAAAUAAAGUUUAUGGGACCACCUUGCUUUGGUGGUAAAAAUAUCUAAUAAUACCUCUUCAACAGAAAAGGACAAAGAAGAGUUUGACAGAACUCAACAACAUAUCCAAGUCCUUCAAUAUGACAGUAAUCCUUAUACCAAGAACAAAAAGUACCAAACAAUGAAUGGUGAAAAGUAAAAGUAGCAACAAUGAUUUAUGCAUAAAUUUAAAAGAAGAGAUGUUUUAUAUUACUCCUGAAUCUUGUGGACAACAGGAUUAUCACUCGUCUCCCAUCGCUCUCGCACGUCCUCUGCAAGCUGUCAACAUAAGAUGAAAGCUUCAGAACAUCAUAAAAAAUCCUAUUAAUCAUGUCAGAAUCUAAAGUAUAGUAGAAAAAUAUUCACAAUCAGAAUAUAUAUAUAUAUAUAUAUAUAUAUAAAAUGAGAAACCCACCUCAUUACCCAUAUCUACAACAGGUCGGCUGAAGCCACUCACACGCUUAAAAGUAGGAUGAUUUUGCAUCUGAGAAGACAAAUGUACUUAGAAACAACAUAUUACCGCCAAGCAAAAGGAGAAGAUUUCAUGAAUGGUUGAUUCUACCUUCUUCUUGAAUGCUUCCCACUUCUCACCCAAGAGUGAUUUUUUAGAUGGCACAACAACAAUAUCAGUUCUUGUACUUCUUGGUCCAGAAGUAGCGGAAGCAGAUGCAUACUGCAUUCGCUUCUUCCUGGUCUGGUUAGAACUUAGCUCAUCUUUUACUAUAUCAUAUCCCUUCUUUGCUAAGUUUGAGAUUUUUGCUUCCUUCAAUUUCUCAAAUGCUACAGAAACUCUUGGGGAGGCAGAUGAAAGUGUUGACCUGAACCUGCUGUAUAGUGUGUCAGCUUGUCCAGAUGAUUCUUUACAAUUGUCAGCCCCAAAAUUUUGAAAUUUCUCCUCUCCAAGUGUGGUACUGCUUCCAUCACUUGCUGCUGAAGUGUUUGUUGAAUUGCAUGUAGAUUCUGAAGGUUCUUGUUUUCCCAGCCCAAAGGUCUCUUUGACCUAAACAAACACAUGAUUGAAAAAGAAAGCAUCUAACUGAAGGGCUAAAAGAAAAGCUACCAUAGGCAUACUACAGAAAGAAGUAGCAUCAUGAUUACCUCUUCUUUAGCAGCUGACAACUUCUCUUUCACACUUGCAGAAACCUAUAAAAAAAAAGAAGUAAAAUGUUUUCCACAAUAAGCAAAUCUAAAAAAAAUAUGAACGGACAAGAUACAGAACAUAAAAUUUGCUCCAGAAGCAGAGCCUCGGUUUGAAUAAGUCAUUGUUUUUUUGUCCUCUUCGGAAUCCUAAAAACAAUCCUUUUGCUGUUUAUUUAAAUUGACUUAUGUUCAAAGGCACCAAAUUUUGGGUGAAAGCAAAUCCUUACUACAGGUAAGCUGAUAGAGAGAAGGAUUCAAAGUGAAAGUUUUAAGCUUACAUAGCCAUGCUUAUUACACGCUCAAAAUAUCAACCUUACUACUAAAUUGAAGCAAAAUAUAGCCACCAAGAACCACCAUAUUUGAUAAAGACAUGGCAUUUUUUUCACUAGCAGCCCCAAAAAUCAAUUUUACUUUAUGUAUGCCUGUUUACAAGAACAAGCAGAAAUUACAAUUUUUUAUUUUUUUGGACUUGCAGGGCCUUAACAUAGAAAAUAAAUGCUUUCAGGUGAGAUUGAAAGGACACCUUAAGCAAAUAAAAAACCCAUGUGUCAUAAGCACAACGAACUGGAAAGAAAUCCUUCACUUGUAAAAUUAUAGGGGCUCUGUUAUCCAUGACGCAAACAAUUAAAUAGACUAAGUACCAACAAAAUCAUAAAACAGUUAAAGAUUUGGAAUUUCAUAAAUCAAAUAAGCAUGCAUGGGCAAGCAAUUCACGCAAUAGCAUUAGAUUCAUUUUUUCAUCAUGACUCAACCAAAUUCACAAUGCAGAUAAUUAUAAUUAAGCAGCUCAGUGAGAGAUGGAUUUCAAAUAGACUGUCAAAGGAAAACCCCUGAAGAGGGAGAGAAUAAGAAAAAAGAUCUUCAAGGCUUUAACACAAAAGUCUUCAACUCAACCUUCUUUGAUGUUGCUUCAGCUUCCACCCAAACAUCAUCCACGCUCUUAUAUAACUUAUCUGAGGUCUUCUUUGUUCUGCAUAGCCAGUUCACACAUAUCAUCUAAUCAGCUCCUUUUGAAACAUCUGUGACCCAUUGACAUACAAUGCAUGUCUCAACCUAUUACGAGAAAAGCAAAAUGCAACAGAUAGACAAGAACUUGGAUCUAAACUGACCUUACUUUCAAAUCUUCCUUCACCACCCCUAUUUUCUCAUUUAGCUCCUUUACGGAUUGUUGGAAUUCUGGAUUGCUGUCAUAAAUUCAAACAAGUGAAUUUUUCCAAAAAACAAGGAGACAUAAAAAAAGUGAGAUAGCAUACUUGUAUGAAAGAAAAUGGUUUGGGGAAAAAACUUGUCUUCUACAGAUAAUGUAAAUGCAAAAGAAAGCAAAUAGCCUCCUUUAACGCCAACAUUUAGAGUUAGUCAUGUUCCCCUCAUGUUAAAGAUAGCACAUCAUAAAUUUACAGACUUAAAAUGGUAAAACUAGUAUAACAUAAAAUAACAAAAAUAAGCAAAGACAAAAAAUAUUCUGGAUAUUGCAGCUUUAAUUGCAACUUGCAAUAGGAAGCAAAUUCAAUAUAAGAAGCAAAAUCCACACACAAUCUGGAGUAUAACGGCUCUGCACAUCCUACGUCCACAAAACCCUGGAAGAGCAGUUCUACCAUUAAGCAAUUUCCAUAAUCGCAACUUGGUGAGUCAUAUUUAAGAAAGACAACAUAAUGCCCGCACUAGCUGACUUAAUUUUACGGCCCUCAUUGAUAAUGAACUAAGAAAGAGUAGUAUGAUAAUCCUCUUUGAUUAUCGAAGUGUAGUAUCUAUUGGCCAUUAAUUUUAUUCAGGGCUUCAUGUCAAUUCAUUUCCUCUAAAUUUGGAUUCCAUAAACUUCAUUUUUGUGCUACAGAUGUUCAGGAACAAUCUUUCCUCCCUAACUCCAAUUAGUGUUUAACAUUUACCUGAUCUCAGCAUUAUCCUGUCAACAACAGUCUGAAUCACCUUGGUAAGGCAGAUAAAAGAGGUAGAAUCAACAAUAAGUUGAUAGUCAUUCUAGAAAACACGUAUUAAAAAACAAAUAACCCGCCUGUAUUGGCCAGUAACCACAGUACAUACAAAACCAGCAAAGAACUGCUACCUAGUUCUUUGGGAACAAAAUGAGGGCAAACUGGCUGCAACUACCCAGAACUGGCCCCUUAUUGACCCAUACAGCUCCGCACCAAGCUUAAUGAUAUUUUUACAUUUUUUUAAUAUUUCAAGUCGUGCCAACCAGUACCCUGAGUCCAUGCAUUGCAUACCAUAUCGUCCAGCAACCAAGCGAGGCCUAUACGCCGAUUUUAAGAACUUGGCUGAAAGGAUUAUUUAAAAGGUCUCCAAUAAUGAAGUGAAUUCGCUUCAAGACACAUCAAUAAAUUCAACACAUCAAAAUCACUUUUGAAAGUAAGUUGCAGCUUCAUUUUAACCAUAUAAUGAACACGAAUUAUUUGUGCCAUCCAAGUUAUGCCUUUCCCAAAUCAGACUAACACAUUAGCAAACAUUAUGUCGAAAUUUUCUGGAUGUCAUGAAUCUUGAUAUUCAUCCCUCUGUCCCUCUGAAAAUUGGAGUACGAAAUUGACUAUGCCAUGCACCACUCCCUCUAUAAGACUAACAUCCCCAACAUUAGUAUGAUGAUAUGUCAUCUUCCCAUUAUCUUACUUUUUGUAUUCAUUAUUUUCCUAAUGGAUCUGCAGCAAGAACAAACCUCUCAUGAACUACCAAUUAAAUAUUCCUCUCAUUAUGAUACAUGCAUGCCCAUGCACAUACCCGCAUGAAGAGCAACCACACACCCGAGAGGGCUAUUUGCUCGCGUGGACAGGUGUCCCAUGAUGCCCACACAGUUAUCUUAGGAUUCUAGUUUGUUUCCUCGUUUACUUGGUCUCCAUGUUUGUUAUGCAACGUGCAGAUUGUUUGGUGACUCAUCCUACAUAAUAGGAAUGAGAAGUAAUGGUAGUACUAGUGUAACGUGCAGAUCCUAACUUGUAGAAUCAUGCAUGGACUCGAUUGGCUAUUUAAGAGUCCUUAAUGUACUUUCCUAAGACAUGAAUAUUAACACAGAAAACCGAUCUUUGUGAUCACUCUCGAAGAUUCUGCCUCUCUCGAAUGAGGCUACCCCUCUCACUUUCCAUAUUUUCUCUUUCCUUAUCCACAAGAAAGCCAUCACGAGUCGAAGAACUUGUAACAGUUCCAAGUCCUUGUUGACUGAGAGCUCUGCACGUAAAACGUUAUCUCCAACAAAGAAUUGGUUUUCAAACCACUUUGUAUGCCCUUCCACUAUGCAUAAUCCACUAACUUCUCUGCUUUAAAAGGUGAUAUCAUAAACCAUUAAUAAUUGCAUAACAUGCAAUUGGUAUAUCAUAUGAAUAGCUAAUUUUUUUCUUCCACUAGUAAGGAUCGUAACAGCUAGUUAAUUUUGUCACUUAUAGUCCCAUUAUUUGAUUAAUUUUAAUCUAUGUAUUUCUAAUAGUUAAAAUAAUUAAAUAGACCACACCUCUUGAUAUAUAUGUGUAUGUAUGCGUGUGUUUGUCAUUCCUUAUACAUUAUUAUUGUAGUGAGUUAGCUACAAAGAGUGCAUCCCAUAAUAAUAGGAGCAUGAUCGGCAGACCGUCCCGAACCGGACGGUUCGGAGAGUACCGAGCCAUACCGGCAGUAGACUGGAACGGUUCCGGCAACCGAAACGAAAUAAAAGUCGACGGAGGGAUAGAAGGAGAAGGAAAGAGAGGAAAAGAGAGAGAGCAAGCGGGGGAGGGAGGGAGAGGAAGGAAGAGCUGAGGCCGGCAAGCGCACGGAGGGCCGCGGAGGAGGAGCUCCGCCUCUGAUCCCCUAUUUUUCGUUCACUUAAAAACCGCAAAUUUAAAAAGGGGCCUCCUCCGAGGACCUGUUCCGAAUGAAACAAUGGACUGGAGGCGGUGCCCCUCCUCUGCAGCCCUCCAUGCGCUUGUCGGCCUCCGCCACUCUCUCUCUCUCUCCCUCCCUCUCUUCCCCUACUCUCUCUCUCUCUCAUUUUCUCUCUCCCGUUCUCCCUCCUCCCCCGCCUCCACUAUUGUGUCGGUAUGGCCCGGCACGGAACAGUAUCGGAGCGUACUAACCCGUGCCGUCAAGCAACCGGUCCAAGCUCCGGUUCCAGCAUAGCAAACCAUGAAUGGGAGUGUCCUCAUCUAAUUAACAAAGAUACAUCAACUAUCUCAAUAUAAUAGUUUAUGAAUUACUUCCAUCUUUAUAGUUCAGCCCUCAUUCAACUAAGAGUCAGGAAAAGCAAUCUGGAUAUUUCAAUCACUAGAAUUUCUAAAGCACCAACAAUUUCGGACAGCCGGACACUGCUCAUUAUAACACUUCAUGAAACUCAAAAAACGGUGAGUCUUGUUUCCAUCAACUAGAGGUGUUAGCACUUUGAAUGGUUUUUUGGUAUGUCCCAUCCAAAAGCACCUUACUACAAUUACUAAUAUUUGAAUUCUCAACUAUUCUGCUACUAAAAAAAUGGUUCAUCCAGAGUAUCCACAAAUCUUCUAGUCAAGCACCACAUAUAUUUCUAUUUUUUCCUUUUAUAGUCUUAUAGCAGCAUAGAUAUAAGUUUUCCUCAAUAAAAAGUGAUAUUUAUGAGUCAGCUUACCUAUUUAUAAAGUUUUCACUUAUUUACAGAGUUUUAUUUUUAUAUAUAGUAUAAAAAAAUGUUCCAGCAUCAUUCUUUGACAUUAAAUAUCCAAAACUUGGGGAUACCUAGACACCUGCAUAGGGUAACACUAGGCUUAGCAUAAAAUGCCUCCAAAAUUUUGAAUUCAGAAACCUAUUAUAUUUGUUAAUUUAAGUGAAGUCUAAACAAUGUCUAGUAAAAUACUAACUAAAAAUGAAUAACUAAUGACACAGCAUUAGUACAUAUGCCCCACAUUUCACUCAAUGUGCACAACAUCAUAUUCAAGCAUCUAUAGCAUGUAUUAGAAAACUGAGAGAGAGAAAGAGGCAAUAUGCAAUGGUAGAAUACAGGUAGUCGUACUUGUAUUGGUUGGGGACUAGUACAAUUCAAGACCUAUACGAAUCAUCCAGUAGUGACACAUGGUAUGGUAAUUGGUGUUGGCAUACCAAAGGUGACAUCAACUACCAUGUGUCAAUACGAUAUGAAAUAUUGAGAGACUACCAAGUAUUGAUUCUCUAUUGAUAUUGUAUGAUCCACUCGGUGUAGACUGCCAUGAAUUGGUGCUUCAAGCCUUGGUAGUAUUGAAAUUUUAGGGAUGUAUUGUGAUAGGCUAAAGUCUCCCACAACUUAAUUUCAAGGGUCAUUAUGAAUAGAACAUUCUAUUCCCUGUUUGGGUAAUUUUUCAGUCAUAAAUUGUCUGCUUGAUUAAAUUAAUAAUUAAUAAUUAAAUACAGAGUAUAGUUAUUUGGGAGUUGCAUCUUUAAAAAAGUCCAUGAUAAUGGGAUAUAAAAAAUAACAAUAUAAUAAAUAUCAUGACUACAAUGAUUUUAUUUUGCUCAUGAACUUUAAUGAUAUAUUCAAUAACAAUGAAAAAAUGUUUAAUUGGAAGUGGGGUAUAAGCAUCAAGACAUAUGUGCUAGAGCAAGAGCAAGGACCCGGCUGGAAGAUUUCAACUAAAAAGAUCCAAUUACCCAGCUCAGGUGGAACACCAUCAGAGUCAGUGGCAGCGUCAAAAUUUCCUAUGGGGGUCUGAUAGGUAUCUACAAGGAGGAAACAUAGAUUUUGUUCUCAAUUGUUACAUUCCAAACUAAUUUCAACAAAACUUAGAAGUCCUUUUUAAAUAAAUCAACUAAAGCAACCAAAAAAUGAAAGAAAAUGAUAGCAUGACACGGAUUAGAAAGAAACGAAUACUGUUUGACACUAGAUCGCGUUAAUGGUUUCAUAUGCCAAUUAUAUAUUGGGGCUAGUGCCAGUACUUAGCAUGGGUCAGCAAGGAACCUAUUUAACUCUUUUAUAUAUAUAUUUUAGAUUGGAAAAAACUGUUAGAUCCUUAUUUUGUUGUCCCAAGAAAAUGCCGCACAUGUGCUUGCAUGACACAAAAUAUAUCAUACCAGCAAAUGACCAGCAACAGUACUUAAAACCCUAAUCACACUUAUUACCAAAUCCCAUGUCAUACACGUCAAUCAUGACUUCAAUAAAGCAUCCAAUCUUAUAUUUGUGCCCAGCCCUAACCCCAUUAGGCAUGAUUAGUUUGUUUCUUGCAUAGUUCAACUACAGCUAGUUCUCUCAGGCAUCUCAUCAAGCAACACCCACACAUCACUUAAAACUCCUUUUCCAACCCAAUAGACAUUCAUUGACUACAUCAAGUUGUUCCACUGCUUCAAAUUGCUCUUAGCCAUUUCAUCAAACAUCUCAUGUGCAUCUUGAAAUUUCAGUAUUCCCAAAACCACCAAUCAUUAGACUAUAAAAUACAUGAUCCCACUAAAAAAAAUAUCAAAUAAACUGAGACCAAUAAAUUAGGUCCCAGUUUGCCCCAUGAUUGAUAAAUCUUUUUUUAAUUCUCAUUUUUAACUUUUGCUCGCAAACCUGGCAUACUAACCGCAAGAUUCUUUCACAUCAACAAGGGAGCAUCAAGUAAUAUUAGACUCAAUGGAGUGGAUUUAAAUGAGUGCUUUAUUUAACAUUUUUCACUCAAACUUAGAACUUGUCUAAAGGAUCCCUACAAAUGUUAACCGCCUCCAAAAAUAUACUUUAUUAUAGGGAAUAACACUCAAUCCAUUUUAUAGGUCUGUCACAUUAUAAGCAUGAAGCCAUCCGCAAGUUCUUGCAUUGUACUGGAUGCAUGACAAGAUUUAUGGUCAAGGGAAGUCCACGGGAGACAGGAUGAGGUCCUAACAUUUUUUACAUGAUCAUUUGAUUGUGAUCUGAUUCUAACUCCACAAAUAUAUACAGACGAAGCAAAACAUUUCAUGAAUUAAGCAGGGCAACAUGAACCAACUCCCUCAACCCCUCCAAAAAAAAGGGAAAAAAUACAUUAGAACUCCUCCAUGACUGAUUAUCAUAGCCUAUGACGAUUUUAUUGACUUAUUAAGAUUUAAGAAAUUACAAUACCUCAAAUUAAUUGAAUAAGACAAUUGUUCCACCUCAAGAUGACAUCUCAAAAAUCUCUUCUAUGAAACUAAGAACUUUUAGAAGGCAAUAAGGUUCUGAAGGUCCCCCAUCCCCACCACCUUGAAACAAGAAAUACAAUAUUGAAUUCCAGAAGGUUUAUACCAAGAUGCUACAAGUCAUCAAAAUAAUCAAGCACUGUAAUAGCAAUAACAAGAUUUCAAGCAUUGUUAUAAUGAAAAAUACUAAGCUAAUGAACAAGAGAUCAAUUUAACAUAAACAAGAUUUAAGCUAAUUUGCACUGCCCUUUUUGGCCUAAAGGAAAUACCAAAGCAUUCAUUAAUGCAUUUGCCUAUGAAUCAAAACUAAAAAAUACACUGAUACUUUAAGAACCAACCAACAAGCCUUGAUUCGUUAAAGUUAGUAUAAUCUUCGAUCCACUCUCAACCUGACAUCAACCAUUCAAAAUGGUUGAACAAAAUUCUAGCUAAGGCAGCUGUAGUCAUUGGAAAGGCAGGUCAUUGAAAACCUUAAAGGCCAAUAGAUGGAUAGGAUAUCAUGAUAUAUGCAAUUCAAAAUGUAAUUAACAUUAAGAGCAAGAACUUUCCUUCACUUUAUUCCGAUCUAGAGUAAAUCUAAUAAAGACAUGGUGCAAAAGAUCAUUCAAGAAAAUAUUGCCUUUGAAGACUGAUUUUUCUAAAGAUUCUUCACAGAUAACAAAUAAACAAAAACAGGCUAUUAAAGUUUGUUUUGGAAUAUUAAAAAUAUGCACACCUAUCGACUAAAGGAUAUCGAGACAAAUAUGUAAAAUCAGCUAAAAUCGUCUAUAAAGAACGACUACAUCUUUGAAGAACAACAAAUAGCGAUAGAAAAAUGAAUUAAAGCUUUUAAAAAAUAUCAUUGAUUUACUUUAAGCAUGUUUUUCUUGAAGCAAUAAAGCCAUUGAAAUAAGCCACGAACAAACCUUUGAUAAGAGCUACUUUCUCCAUAUAGCACAGCCUUCAAUGCUAUAUAACUUAUAUUAAAGAAAUUUUGAAAUGGUAAAAGUGACGAGACCUUUUAGCUUCUCCUUUCAAUUGCUUUGAGAACUCAUUGAAGACACUAAAUUGACGAGCCCUUAAAUUUCUGUUUUCCAUGGCCAAUCGGCAAUGUAUAUUUGCUACCUAACCGACAAAACCAUAUUGAUGUAAGCAGAUAGAGUUAUGACCGAGAAUUUAUCUUUAGACAAAUCCAAACUACAAAAUGAAUAAGCAUAAUAAAUAACAAAUUAUUUUUACAUUUAUAAUUAAUAAAGUUUACAAAGAAUUACUAGAGGAAAGCAUUAUUACCUCUUCCUAUAUACUGUAAUGAAUAAUAGAGGCAAGACAAUACAGUCCUAACUACAAACGGACAGGACUUGCUGCCUAUCCCUUUUCCUAUUCCCUUCUUUAAGCAGAUAUGUAUAAACAAAUAAGAAUUAAAAGCAUCCAGUUUUUGUCCCACUAAGUGAUCUUGGAAGCUUUUCUCCCCCCACCCUCCUCUCUCUCUCUCUCUAUAAGAGGACCUGAUGUUCAUAUACAGCAUACCCAAUGUGAUGUCUCCAGAGGUUAAUGUUGAUGGUAUGUGGCAUGGUACCAUGAUUUGAAGAGGCCCACCUAGCUCCAUGCUUAAUUUAUACAGCCACUGUCAUGCACGCAUUCCUUAGAAAUGCAGUUCAAAUUACUUAGGACAUUAGACAGGAUGAUGCUUGGUAACAUGAUUUUGAUUCACCAAGUGAGAAAGGCCAUUAUAUAACAAUAAUCUUCAAGAGCAUAAAACAAGGUGGCAGCCUUAGAACAUAACCUUGUAACCACAAAAUGAAGAAACUAUAGUAUUGCAAAAAUGAAAGUCUAGAACUCAAGGUAUGUGUCUCAACCAUCUGAUAUUUAAGGACAUAUACUAAAGAGUGUUGAGAUGACAGAAGAAUGUAUCAGUUUGUAAAGAGCUAGACAUAACUAUCUUUGAUUCAUCUUGGACUUCACAAAUUAUAGGUUUAAUUUUAGAAAGUCUUUGUCUAUGUUUGCCUGUUGAGUAAGUGAAAGAGCAGAAACUUUGUUGCCAUUUGGCAGUACAAAGAAAAUAUUCAAGGAGUGAAAAUAACAAGAAAAAUUAAGGGCUAACAUUUUCUUUAGGAUGUAGUUAUUUCAAGAGAAAAUCACACAAAAAAAAACUCUAGCAAUUUAAUCAUAAAAGUUUCUUUGCAAUUUUCUCAAUUCAUCCAAACAAAAAAAAAUUGUAAGUUUCUUUUUCUUGUGUUGAUCUAUUUUCUUUCAUUUUAUAGGCAACCAAAAAAGCUACUACAAGGUGCGACGUAAGUUCUUAGGACUCUUCAAAACCUAUAGUCCUACCAAUUUAGGAAAAAAAAAUCUUAUGCUAUCUUUUUUAUUCUCUCUUGCUACUUUUUCUUUUAAGUGAUAAGUUGCACGUCACCAUAAUAGUAAUUGAUUUUUUAAGAGAUUUUGAUAGAUUAAGAAGCUCAUCUUAGUCAGGAGAGGAUAUACAUCAUACCAAUUAACCAAGAUGAGGUGGCCUUUCUAUUUUUCUUUAAAGUUUUUUACAAACAAUAUUGAAGCAUAAUUUAUAUCUAUCCUCUCUGUCAGGAAAGUCAGUGAACCCACAUGCCUAUCCAUGGUUUAGGUCUUGGAAAUUAAGCAUUCACCCCUCAAAUUUGACUGUAAACUCCAUGAAAGGGCCCCAUCAGCCCAGCCAUCAAUCUCCCCUGGUCUGAUCUAGAACUCAAAUUCUAAGCAUUUGUUUAUACAAUCAUCAAAAUCAAUUUCACCAAUAUCCAAGGUCCACAUAUUGAAAUCAUAAAUACAAGAAAUGGGAACAUAAAAUGCAAUGUUAUAUCAUAACAAGUGUAAGCCCUCUCCACAAGAUCCACCGAAAGUAUUACCUUCUCAGUCAACAAUAUAAUAUUCUUGGAGAUGGAGACAGCAACACACAUCCCAUAACAAAUUUAAAGAUCCCAUUGACAAUAACAUCUUUAUUCCACAAUUUCUUCAUUGUUGGCAUCUAGAUGUGCCCAAGAGUAUUUCUUACACUCCUAAAUUUUUAAUCCACAAAAAACUAUAAAGAAAUUGUGACAAAAUUGUGAGGCUUCUUCUUGAAGUGACAUCUCAAUAUCCUCCAGCAACAUAAGUUCAGCCUCCAACACUAGCAAUAUUGUCUUAAGAUCUUCCAUGCAAGCCUCUCCAUUUAUGUCAUACGAGGCAACAAUACAUCCUCAAACCCCGGCUCACCACAAUCUCAAGCCAGAACACACCAAGAUUGACUUCGAGCAACCGAGGCUUGAGCUCGAUUUUCUUAGGUCAAGCCAAACUCGAGCGCUGGACUUGCUCACUUGUGUUCUGCUCGUUUACACCCCUACAAAGGACUAGGGGACAAAGGAUUCAAAGGACUUCAUUUCUAGAGAAUAUUUUUGUCAAAAACUUGGACUGAACUUAUUGCCCAGGGGAAAAAUCAGACAGUAUACUGCAUUAUUUCCUUUGCGCACAAUAAAUUAAAUUUUGCGUAAGUAUAAAUUUUGUUAAAAUGUUCAUUCUAUUUGUAAUUUUUAUUUAAAAAACUGUGUGACCUAUAUGCUCUAAGGGAUUAAAUUGUAACAGUAGGUCACUUAUUCAAAACUUGGCCGCAACUAAAGUAUGCAAUUUUACCUUGACUCUAUAUUUGUGUCCUGCUAUUUUACUAACUCAAAUAAUAUGUAUAUCAUGCAAAUCACAUGUAAAACCAUUUAGUUUCAUAUCUAUUGAAUCAGAUAUUAUCCCAAUAAAAUUAUCCCCCAUCCUCGAUCCUCUUUGUUUUCCUUUUCCUCAGAAGAGACUUUCUCAGAAAGCCUCUUCAGAAAAAUGUUAUGAAACCCUCGUGCAGGCCUACCAGCUGGUAAAGUACAUACAUUAUCUUUCUAGUAUUGAAGAAAAGAACAUGACCACAUUAUUGUUGAUCUCUGAUAAAUCACAUUAUUGUUGUAAAAUGAGCAAACGCGAUGAUAUAAUUUAUCUUUUUUUUAUUUAUUUGCAUCAAAGUUAUUUCUUCUAUUUUUAUGCUUAGCGCACUUUAUUUGUCAUCAGGCCCAAGUCAAAAAAAGCGAAAUUCCAAGCAUGAAGAUUUAAUAUAUCCACAAAACUCUUUAAUACUCUAUUAUGGUAUGAAAGUUCAAACUAUCGGGUAAGAUGUUCUCAUGGAUAGUAAAAUUUUAGCGACAGUAACCACCUUGAACAUCGAUUCAAAGAUCAUUACCCCCUUUACGACAAACUCGGAACCAACUUAUAAUGCUGUCAAUAUUUUUAUUUUCACCGCUAUCUACAUAUUUCCAACCAAACGAACACCCUUUGCUAUAUAAGUCGAUUAUAGCCUUAUUUAUAUACUUAAGGUAAAAAUUAGAAACCCCCAUAAGAUGCAACCCAGUUUUCUUGACAAACUGAAUCAUUAAACGAUUUUAAGAAAAAUUCAAUAACAAAAGGGGAGAAGGAAAGAAAUUCGGAGUAAAACUUACAUAUCUAAGAGCAGACUGCGAGGAAGGCCGCCUCAUGGCUCUGAAAAGCGCGGAGGUCGCCAUGUAUGGGGAAGAAAACAGGGACCGCGGGUUUAGGACGAAAACGAGCUCCAGAAGAGAGAAAUCAAUCCCGACGGGCUGGGCUUGCGCCCCACGCCAUCUCCUUCUUUCUACGGCUACGAUUAGGGUUCCGGCGACCGCCGGCUUCUUCCUGACCGGAGACAAGAAGAGAGGAGAGGAGAAGAGAGGGAGAGAGUUUCCGCCGCUUCGCUUCGGGGAAGAGAGAGAGGAAGCGAAAAGGUUUGGAAGACACGAAUUGUUUUUUGGGUUAGGGAUUUAUAGUACUCUUCAGAUUUUAUUAGCCGGUUUAUUGACCGCUUUGGUUUGGGUUUUUACAGGACUCAUGGCUUGAUGGAGCCAGGCUGCCAGCUCAAGGGCGUACGAGGCAGAGAGAUAAGGAUCCGUAUAGUUUAGAGCCCAGAGAGGUUAUCACCUAUACUAAAUUUAUUUUGAAUGCCCAGUAUAUUCUUCUCGAGAAAGACUGACUACAGUGAUCAAAUAGAUUCGUGGCCAGCGAAGCAGUACUAGUGAGCUACCACUGCUUUACAAUAUAUGCAUAUUCUCGAGAGUGCGUGGUUCCUUCCGGAUCACUCAUGUUUAUCGCAAGACAAACAAUAUUAUAGGCUAGAUUACUUUCUUGGUGGCUCAUCACUCUUAAGGGUUCAUAUAGGAGAACCAUCUAUUCACUUCUUCUAUUUUGUACUAAUUUUUUUUUUCUAUUUGUUAGCUACACUCAUGCACCGUUGUGUGUGAGAUACUGUUGUACGGAAAAGAAGGAAAAAAAAAAAGAAGAAGAAGAAGAAGAAAAGAAAAAAAAAAGAAUAGAGAUCCCCUAAAGAACGGUUGGAUGGGCUCAAGCGGAGUGAUUCUCAUGCAUUAACUGUGUUGGCUCGUUAAUAUGUAUGAAUUUUUAUUCUCGUUAUCUAAUGGCGAUUAUAAUGAUAUAACUGAUAAAAAAUGAUCGUUUUUUUAGAUAAUUCAUUAUAAGUAACAUGUAUAAUAGGAUAGAGUUUUAUAAUAUAUUAGACUUCCUUUAAAACUAUUAUAAUGGAUCUUGCAAUGUUAUAGCAAAUUAUUUUAGAUCAUGGUCUUAGGUUGAUCACAGGUGUGAUUCACAAUGUUUUUUUCAGACUAGGAAGGGCUACUCCCGGCUUUACUCACAAAUCUACCCUGUAUCCAGCACGCAGACCAACCGAGCCUUCACUCACAAAUCUAGUACUUGGUGCAAUCAAAGUCAAAGCAAGGAUCAACAUCCUUUGGAAUUGAACUCCUAUUCGUGGGAUUUACCGUACGAACUUUAGUUCAGAGAUGGUCAAUUACUAUGUGAUAGGUGUUUAUACAUCCACGCCGAGGACUCUAAUCUAAAGGCCGAUAUAUCAAGCAAGAUGCAUGCCAAUAUACCAAAGAUGCAAGCAGAAAGUAUAAAUUUAAAGGAGUGAGAUUUAUCGGCCUUGGAGGAGUAGCGCGGACGUAUAAAAACAAUAGUUGACCAAUAGUUACCACUAACCAUAUAUAAAGGAGUAGUCAAACUACCUAUCAUGCACGGCAAUAGUAACCUAUGUAGCAAACAAUAAUAAAGACAAAUAUUCAAAAUAAGUUGUGGUACCGAUUUUUUCAUACUUACGAUGUGAGGGAAGGGAUAGCACUAUUUAUAAUACAUAGCAACAAUUGGUCAGUACAUAAUGGUGAGAACAAAUAAUCAAAAUAAAUAGUAGCACCUAUUUUACUGGUUAACAGAAUCCAUCUAUAAUUAUUAUAUUAUAAUCAUGGGAAAGGAUCUUUUUCCACUCAAACAAUCCGAAGUUUAUUUUUAUUCUUAAUUUAUUAUUGCUUUUAUCCUUUCAGGUCCUUUCAAAAAAAAAUUUAAGUUCUUUGCUUUUAGUUUUCCAGUAGAGGGCAGUUUGAGAGUAAUCUUGCUUCUUAUCCUUCUUUUCUAAACAGUAUAAUGGUAGCAAAAGUUUUUGCUCGAUCACCAAAUUUGACAACAAAAACUUAUUAUCGAUCCUCCAAGGGCCAACAAGUUUUUCUGGCAUAUGCCAGCUGGCAUGUUCUAAGAAAACACUAAAAAAUAAAACUAGCAGCCUAAAAGUGUGCUUUAUAAUUCUUCGAGCGUAAAAUUUAUAAUAUUUUUUUUUUUUUACAACGAUGCGGCCAAUAAAAAUAAAAAAUAAAAAGGCUACAUAAGAAAUUUGCAAUACUUCGUCGCCUCCUCUAACUUCACGUGAAUUCCCCUUGGGGUGGGGACUCGGAGAUGUGGAACAAUCUGCAAUUAAGAGCUUGUACAAGCUUCUUUUUUUUUCCCGUUUUUUGGUACAAUUGUACAACUCUUUACCAAUCGGUGUUAAUCCUGACAAGCGUACAGCCCGGGCUGCGGCGAUCUUCUCACCGGAAGUACACAAAUUCUUGCGAAGCUAACGAGAGAGUGAAACAUAAUAUCUGCAUCUGCCCUUAUGCCAAUGAAAUUUGGCAUAGAUCUUGGAUGUUCGUUGACACGUUUCAAAUUGCGCAACGUCUGAACUUGCUGUUGUUGCAUUACGGGCUAGUUUGAUUCGUAGAAAAGACAGAAGAAAAAGUGUGGUCAACGAAAAAGUAAUGAGAUGAGUUUUCAAAUGAGAGGGAAGAGAAAGUUGUAUUCCUAUGAAAAUAUAAUUUCCAUAUUUCAUGGAAAGUUACUUUCCCAUGAGGCAGGAAUCACUCCAUUUUUACUUUUUUUUUCCAAAAAAUUCCUUCAGCAUUGAAGAAGCAUUAAAGAGGCAUUAGAAAUCUAAUUUUUAUUAAGGACAUAAUAGCAAUUAUACAUAACUUUCCUACGAAAGUGAAUGGCCAACCAAACAUAAGCACUUUGAAAAUUUGUCAUUUUUCCAUAGUCAACCAAAUAUGCCAAAAGUACUUUCCUAGGUAUUCUCUUCGUAGGAAUUUGUUUUCCAGAAAUCAUAUUUCUACGAGGAAAAAUGCUUCCCGCGAACCAAACGAGCCUUACAAGUUGUUGUUGCCGCACAAAGCCGAAGCAUUUGGGCUACUCUGGAAUGCUUGUAAGAAGUAUGCCUUCCAAGAAGAAACCAACUUCACAUCUAGUCUUUUCUUCCUAGCCGGGGAUUAUAUAAACACCAUUGAUAUGUAUCCUUUGGUGGAGAAGCCUGGGAUCUCAAAACUGCCUUGGCCCCUCUUGGCUCCUUACUUUAGGAAUGUAGAGUCAAUUUUGACACAACUCUCAAGAGAUAACAGAUACAAGGAAGGAUUGGCAAGAUUUAUGGACUAUUCCAGCACCACUAUCUCUUGGUUAUGGAAGAAGCCUUGGAGUUGGAGAUAGACUAUUCUAUUCUAUUAGUUCAUCCAUGGGCUCUUAGCACAUUGAACACCUUCGAGGCCGCUUGCGUCUAUCACGAAAGAAGUAAGCCCGCUGAUCAGUUUGCCAAGACAAAUCAUACGAACAGCAUCCUUAGGACCUGAUUCUAUCCUACAAAGCACAAGGACUUACAUAGAGCCACAAAUGGAUUGAUUAGACUGGGGCAUGUUUGACCCUAACGGCAUCCAAUCUCAUGUCCGGAUCUUGGAUUAAAUCUAGUACAUUGAUUGAUCGAGAAAGUCGAGUCGAGUCUAGAGAAAAGAUUUUAGUCCCAACGGGUUAAUUAGGUGGGUCAAGGUCAAGUAUAGCUCAAACCGAAUCUAAAAUAUUCAGUUUUAGAUCUCAUUGGCUUCGACCUAAAAUAUACAUUCAAUGGAUUGAAAAAUAUUAAGACCUAAGGAGAAGGGGUUUAUAUAAUAUUGAUUUUGGAAUUGGGUUGGAUUGGAUCGGUUUGGGUCAGAAAAUGUAAAACCCAAAUGAUCCCGUUUCCAAACUUGGCUCAACUUUUGACCCGACCUGAUCCACCGGGCUCUAGAAACAGUUCUAAUUGGAUCAAAUCAGAUUGGAUGGCCGACCAGACCCAUUUGUAGCCCUAAUGCUAUAGGAUGUGUUUAUCAUAGGUUGAAAGAAAGUGUCCGAUUUGAAACCCAAACACUCCUCUUGCCCCAACAUUAACAUGAUUAGUGCUAACCAGAUGACAUGAUCAUAUAGCAUGCAUGGCAGGUGGAACUCAAGCAGAUUGUAGACUGCAGAGCAUUGCAAUUCUUAGUGAGAAAGGCCCUAAAUUACCCAUUAUUGGGUCAAUUUGGGGAUGCUGUAGCUUUUGGCGAAAAAGUAAGUUUUGACAAAAGCUACAUUUUGAACCCAGAAUCAUUUUUGACGAGCACAAACACAGCUCCAAACAUGCACAUAGUAGAGUUUAGGUGCCUUAAAAUAUCAUUGCAAGAACAGGAAAAUACCAUAUUUUUAACCUGGAUCUCUGUGCACAAUUUAGGAUCCAUCAUCGUAGCUUAUAGUAGAAACGCAGUCCUAAAGCUAUCAGUNNNNNNNNNNNNNNNNNNNNUAUUGCUCAGCAUCAUCUAACCUUCAUCAUGCAAUUGAAUUACCAGUAAAUAUCAAAAUAGAGAGUUAGUUCUUACACCAUCUGAAUAAGUAAAAACCCAAGGAAAGAAUUGAUACUCCCUCAUGCUUACGCAUCUAUUACCAUUGCCCUACAUUCGAUAGCCAAUUUCUUUCCCUGGUUUACUCCAUUGUGGUCGCAUGUCUUGAUUUCAAGCAGUAAAUUAUUUGACAAUGUUAGUUGACUAGGCUUCUUCAGAUUGGUCACUUGGACGAGGCGAUGCUAAGCUUGGUGGUGGUAGCUCUAAGGUAGAAUUAAUGCUAUCUUUUGAGUGGGAAACAACUUGACCAUGUUAGUUGACAAUUAUUUUAGUAAUAUGCAAAGACUAACCACAGUGGGAAGAUGGUGCAAUACCUUAGUGGCCAUAGUUGUUUUAAGGUAAACUUUUUGAAUCGUAAAGUUAUUUGACGCUAUUUUUUUUUUAUCAUCUCUCAUUGUGCAAACCACGCAGGGAUAAGAUGUAAUACUCUAGUUGGUGAUAAUUUGGUAGUUAAAAGUAUAAUGGGGAGAGCUAAACCCUGCAUGAUUUCUUAGAGAUGACUCAUACAUGGUUUUAGAUCCCCAUGAGCUGAGUACGGGUCCAUAAAUCAUGACCAACUUAUAACUAGGUAGAUCAUGAACCCCAUUACCUACACUAGAUUGAACCGAAUUAAGCCAGAAGCAAGGGACCAAAUUUGGAUUCACAGAAAUUGUUGAAAAAUUAAGGUCUUACAUUAAAACUUANNNNNNNNNNUUUGCCUCAAGCCCGCCUGAAGCCCUAUAAACAAUGUGCAGAAACUUUGGAGGAAAAUGAGCAAAUGGAGCCAGCUAAGAAAAAUUGCAGUCCAUCUCACUCACACACGAAUCUUGACAGUUUAUUAAUUAUUUGACUACUAAUUGCUGGCCGGCCCUUGCAUCAAUAUGUAAGUAGUAGUCCAAAAGUACUCCAAGGAUAUGCCAAAUGAUAUGGUGGCAGUUGUGAAGUGCAAAAGCUUGUGUUUUUUUUUUUUAACCUCAAUGGAGGGCUAUUUAUCACAACAUGCAUGCAUCAUACUUUUGGAUGCAUGAUCCUCGGCAUGGGCAAAUUAUAACCUACACCACAUGCAUCAUGCCAGUCACCACAUCUCCUUCGCAUAGGCUCCAAAUGCUUGUCUCGAUGACUGGUCCAUAGGAGAGAGAUGAGGUGAUUGGCGUGGUGCAUGUAACGAAGGAUAUAACUUCUUCUCCUCGACAUGUAACCAUUGUUGUCCAUGCCUAUGGACCCAGUGCCAAAAUACUAUUGUUAGAGGUGGAUCUGCACAACAUUUUCUUUCCUUCCCUAUAAAUUAAGUAGUCUUGAUCAAAGCAGGCUUUUUCUAAGGUGAAGUUAGCACCCAUCAUAGCAAAUCCUUUGUAGAGGGUAUUCUGCUAAGUGAAUUCAAAUUAUAAAUUGAGUUCCACCGACAUCCACCUUUCAAAGUUCAGCGAUAGAAACUCACCUCAUAUAUUUUAUCUUUUGAGUCGUAAUCAAAAUCUUGAAAUUGUGGAGUACUUGAGGAGUGGAGGAUUGCCUAAUAUCUUUAUCACGUAACACUUUUCGAUAACUUUAAUUUUGACAGCCUAACAAGCCCACUACAAGCACAAAGUGGCAUUACAUGAUUGAUCUGCAGCAUUAAAAACCACUUGCUACUCCUAAAUCUGGCCCACCCGUUAAUUAUGGUUUGUCUCUUUAAUUAGCUGCUUCUGCAUGACCAAUUGGUCAAUCAGUUCAUACGGGACCACAACAUAUGUUGGCUAAAGAAUCUAAAUGCAAGUUUUUUUUCUUUACUUUUGAAUAGAAACCUAGCGGCAAUCAUUUUCCUAAUCCCAUAACAUAUCUUUGUGGGGUUCAAUAUUGGACAGUAGCAUAUCAAUAUUUAACUUGUAAGUUAAUUUAGACAAAUAAGUGAAAAGCAAAGAAUUGAAUAUCUAAUAUUAUUCAGCUGCUCUAAGUUUUUAAAAUUUUGAUGGCUAUCGAUAGGUAUGUGGCGGGGAUAACAGCAGGAUGAUGAAUGGAAUGUGGUACAAAUGAUGCAAUUAUGCAUGCAGUAAGCCACCGAAUAGUUGGAAUAUUGUCAAAGGCUAGAGAAGAUUUUAGGGCUCGUGCUAGUGGACUGUGGAGUCUACUUCCUAAAGCACAUAAGGGCUCUUUUAGUCGACUCGAUAUUGACUCAUCGUUUCUUGCUGUAAUUUUAGAUCAUGUUAAAUGUCAUGGUAUCAUGGUGAUCUUGCCUUACUUAUUUGGAUUCCACCCCUGCAAGAUGCUUGAAUCUUUGGUUUGAGGCAGAGCCAGUUGCAUGGAUGUUUUUGAGCCAAAGUGAGAAUCAAAAUUAAGCAAAUCAAGGAGUGUUAAGCACAACUUGAAAUGCUCACCCAAGAUUAGUUUCUCUUUCCCUUUUCUCUUUUGUUUCUUUCGAGAAAGGAAAAGGGAGGAAGACUGCAACACAUUAUAAUCAUUCAGGUUCAAAGAUUUUAGAAUGACUAUGCAAUGGCUUCUUUCACGUGCAUUGAUGCUCCUUUCGCAUCUCAUCAUAGCUUGUUAGGUUUGUCAGCAAACCUAACACACAUCUUUGCAGCAAAGAUUUAUUAUAUAGCAGGGAUAAUGAGAGCUACGUAAGAGAACCUUGCCUCAAAAGUGCAGACAAAUGCUAGAACCCUUGCAAUGGGCCUACGUACGUACUUACGUAAAUCUAGUGCACUAUAUAGCUAGAAAUUUUAUUCUUAUAUAUAUAGAGUGCUUUACAAGCAAUGGUUAUCAUAAUGCAGAAACAGACAUCAUAUUAAUAAUGAUAUUAAUUAUCUCUGUUCUUAUAGUGGGAACAGUCCAAUUAGUCCAUAUAUUGACAUCGGAACAUUUGUCUCUACUCGUACCAUGAGCAGAAGAAAAGUUCAUAAGCAUGCUCCCAUGCAUCUUUAUGAGGGCGUUUAGAUGUCUUGGUCUCUGGACGUGACGAAACGGAUGACUGCAACAAAAUCUCUGUGAGUCAGCAAUAAUCUUGUUUGAUAUUGGCUGUUCAUAUAAAUAUUACACCAAAAGGUCUUCCAACGUUGCAUGGCCCAUGCACGUACGGUUCUCUAUAAUGCACCUUUUGCUUUCGAUUUAGAAAAUAUCAAGUAAUUAUGAAGGAAUCAUAGAAAGGAAACAUCACGUCGGUAGUGUUCGUUUCGUGAGAUGUGCUUUCAGUUUAGAAAACAUCAAAGUCAUUACAAUGGAAUCAUAGAAAGGAAACAUCACUUGGGUAGUGUUGUUUUGGUGAGAUGGUGGAAUCAAACCUCUUUUAAUCCCUUUGCAAAUCCUAUCAAUUUCUAUGCAUGGCACCAGUCUUCUCUAGCCACGUGGUAAGAGAAACACUUUGUAUGAGUGCACUCACUUUACUCAAUAAAAAUAAUUAAUUAGUACAAGUCAUGACUACGUUUUUAAGAAAAUAGUUUCGGUUGAAACUAAUUGCGAUUGUGAAAAAUUAAUUACAAGAUGAUAAAUAAGGGAUGAUGCAUGGAUGAAUUUGAUGUACUCAAGUAAAUUACACGUACGAUUUGCAUGUGAUCGACAUGGUGCGAUUCUAUACCAGACAUCAACCAUGUGCAUUGCAUGGCUAGUACACAGCAUGCUUAUUCUAACCAAGCAGCUUCAUAUUGCUGCCAAAACAAAAAAAAACCCUAAUACACAGUUUCUUAUGUCCUAUAGUAUUGAUAACAUGAUUGUCAAACAACCUUAUAAUGGAACAUCAGGUAAAAUCUCGUAGCCAUUUUGAUUAUAUAUUUUAAUAUAUUAUUUUGUAAAUCUAAUUUGAAUUUUAAUGAUUUAUAUAAAUUACUGCCAUACAACAGAGGUAAUUAGGUAAGAAUACAAAACCAGAUACUGGCUGAUUCAUAGUCCAAUUUUAGGUUGAUCGUGAAAUAUUGAUGCUUCUUCUACGUGACAGAUGUAUUACUUAUCUCCAUGCCAUAAUAUAGUUUUGCUCCUUUCACGUCUCAUAGCUUGUUCCACAUGGUGUGGAAUUUUGCAAUAAAAAUAAAUAGUGGUGUGCAAAAAAAUCAGCUGAAUCGUUUUUCUUUUCGGUUCAGUUUAUAUUAUUUUUUUUAAAAAAAAUUGGUUUGGUGUUAGUUUAAAAAAGUUUUAAAUACCCAAAAAAUUUGAUUUAAUUUUAGUUUGAGUUUUUAGAAAAUCCGGCUAGACUCUGAUAUAUAUAUAUUCAAAUCAAUCUGGUCCGAUUCGAUCCGUCCGAUAGUAUGUGUAUAUAUAUACAUAUUAAUUUUUUAUUUUUUAUAUAUUCAGACUUAGUUUAACCUAUGCAGUCCAAUUCAUUGAACGCCAACCAGAUAAAUUGAACUAAAUGGAACCGUAUUUUUCUGAUUAAUUUUAACCAAUUUUUUUUAAUAAAUCGGUUCAAUAUCAACUUUCAUUUUAAAAAAUCCGCAUAAAUCGGUUUGGUUCUACAAAUAAUCUUAAGGUGAAUGGGUCCCAACCGUACGUGAUCAGCAAACCUAACACAUAUCCUUUCAGCAAAGAUUUAUUACAUUGCAGGAAUGACAAGAGGUAGGAGAAUCGUACCUCAUAGCACGUACGGAUCCCGUAUGCUAGAAUAUUUACAAUGGGCUUCCGUAAACCUAGUGCCAUAGCUAGGUCCGCUAUUCUUUUAUACAUUGCAGUGCUUCACAAACAAUGGGUAUCAUUGUGCAUAAACAGACAUCAUAUCAAUACUACUAAUUUGCCUACAUCUAUUCUUAUAGUGGGAACAGUCCAAUUGUGUCCAUUGAUGUCGGUGCAAUAGUGUCCACAGCUCAUACUAUGAACAGUAGAAUAAAAGAAGUCGAUAAACACGCUCCCAUCUUUACGAGAUGUUUAGAUAUCUUGCUUUCUGGACUUGUUGAUGUUGAGAAAAAUGUGUCUCGAAACUCGAAACGACUGCAAAUUGAAUUCGGCUCAAGUUUGCUUGAAAAAGUCUGUGCCAACUGAAUGGAGUCGACUCCUGCAGAGCUGGAGUCGACUCCUAUGAAGCUUGAGUCGACCCCAGGGAUGAGAGGGUCGACUCGCAUCUGCCACAGUGAAGAAACAGAGAGCAGUUUUCUGGGUUGCUUGCAGGAGUCGACUCCAGUCCUGCNNNNNNNNNNNNNNNNNNNNNNNNNNNNNNNNNNNNNNNNNNNNNNNNNNNNNNNNNNNNNNNNNNNNNNNNNNNUCUCAGAAAGACAGAACGUGCCAGUUUCGGUGCUGAUACUUGGAGUCGACCCGAGGAUGUCCGAGUCGACUCGAACUUAUCAGGAGUCGACCCCUGAAAGUGAGGAGUCGACUCCUGAUCACGGGAUUGAUUGAAACGAUGGCAAGAUGGGUUUUUUGACUUAGGGUUUUUCGUAGGGAAGUUUCCUUAUGUGUUGAAAACCUAUAAAUAGGUUUUUUGGUGAACCCUAGGUGAGAUGAGAGCGGCCGUAGUGAGUUUCUUUUGGAGUCCUAUCUCUCUUGUAAGCCCUAGGUGUGCAAUCUCCAACAGGAAGAGAGAUCAUUGUAACCCUUGCUGAAUAUAUUGAAAUCUGUGUGUGUGGCCUCCGUGGACGUAACCCGUAUUGGGUGAACCACGUAAAAUUAUUGUCUUUGUGAUUGUUUGAUUUUAUUCUCUACUACUUCUUCUUCUCGAUUUNNNNNNNNNNNNNNNNNNNNNNNNNNNNNNNNNNNNNNNNNNNNNNNNNNNNNNNNNNAUCGCGCAACAGUUGAAGACCAAAGGUAGGCAAGACACAACAGAUGCACUAGAGGAAUAAGUAGGAAAGGUGAUCGAAUAUUACCAGCACUAGAAAGAUGCAUCGACAAUAUUCCGAUGCUAGAAGUGUUACGCUGAAUUUAGCUACCGAUGGGUUCAAUCCAUUUCGAAUGAUGAGUUCUACAUAUAAUAUUUGGUCGGUUGUUUUGACUCCAUAUAAUUUGCCGUCAUGGAUGUAUAUGAAACAAUUUUUACUUAUUCUGUCAAUAGUUAUUUCGGAUGAUCAGAGUUCAGAUAAUGAUAUUGAUAUUUUUUUACGGCCUAGAAGAAUUGAAAUAGUUAUGGAAAGUUAUCGAUGCAUUUGAUGCUUUUACUUAUCAAACAUUCAAAUUGUAGACAAUUCUUAUCCGGACCAAGAUAUGAUUUUGUAAUAUAAUCUCUGCCCGCCGACAAUAAUGUAUGUUGGCUUUUCAUAUAAAGCACAUGCUCUAUCCUAAUCUGUCCUAAAUAUUGCACGAAAAGCCCUUCCAAUGUAUGGCCCACAGUUGUUUAUAAUGCACUUUGGACGCUUUAUUCAGAAAAUAUCAAAUAAUUACAAGGGGAACAUCAUAUGGGCAGUGUUCUUUUGUUGAGAUGGUAGAGUAAAACCUCUUUUAAUAAAAAGAAGCUGCCAAUCUCACAUGAAUCCCUCCCUUUGCAAAUCCUAUCAAUUCCUAUGCAUUGCACCAAUCUUCUCAAGCCAACAUAUACCCUCUCGCAUUACUCAAUAAAAAAAAUUAACUAGUGCAAGUCAUGACUACAAUUUGAAGAAAAUAGUUUAGGUCAAAACUAAUUACGGUCAUGAAAAUUACAAGACGAUACAUAUGGAAAGAAGCAUGGAUGGCAUUUGAUAUACUAACAGUGUGAUUCUACUAGACAACAGCCAUGUACAUUGCAUGCUAAUAUUAAUACACAUGCUCGUUUUAACCAUACAACUUCACAUUGCAAAAAAAAUACUAUAACAAAAAUUAUAAUUGCUGACGUUGGAUAGAAUCAUCGGUAAUUUUUUUCUACAUUAAAAAAAUAUCGGUGCUUUUUAAAUAAAAAAGUAAAUCUAAUCCACAGUAAAUCUAAUCACUCCUCAUCACUAACAAGGAAAUAGAAGUUCAGUGGCGCGUCAGACAUGGGCCAACCCAAGUGACUCCCAUCCCAUCCUGUCAUCUUUCUUAAAGCUGCGGUGACUCGACCGCGACCCGAGACUCUCACCGGUGGCCCCCAUCCUUUUGAGUUUGUUUUAUUUCAUGGUCCAGGGGAGUUAGGUUUGCCGACACCCAAGUUUUCCUCCCUUCUAUUGGCCUCAUACUACGGUAAUCUUUGCCCAUUUCCCGCCACCCAGGCUACGUGAAGACAGCAGGAUCGCCUUCACCCUUGGUGUCGUUAUCCUCCCUCUUCCUCGUGCUGCAAUAGCGUGGUCUCCACUCAAUUAUUAGUUUAUCGGCUAAAGGAUGGAGGUGAUCCCAUGCAUAGCUUCGGCCGGAAUUAAUGGUGUUUUGGAUGGGUCGAGAAAGAGAGAAGCUCCAGUCCGAAAAGAUGAUAGGGUCAAAGCCAGCUCUUCUUUUCUUGGAGUCACGGGUGGCACAUAACCCUGUACUCUAUGGGUUGUGAAGACAGUGCUCUUGUCCUUGGAAUGGCCCCCCUCACUUCCCUGCCUGAGCACCAAAACGAUACCUUCGGACCCCACAUCUCUGAGUUGUGGCCAGAGAUUCACCGGGAAUGGACUCAGAAUCAGAGAUAUGCUGUCAAUUCCAUGCACAGUUCAUUACGUGGCUCGUUCUCGAGUCUGAAGAUGAGCACAAAAAUGCGAGGUGGAAAUGAGUUGGAUGGCAAAUGUAAUUCUCAGGCCUUGAUUGGGAUUCCUUUACACAAGCCCACUAACUAGCCAUGAAUUGAGCAGUUGUUUGUGUAUCUCAAAAGGUCGCUUGUAUGAUGUUUUGUCAUUGCACCAUUUGAAUCGGCAUUGUGAAUCGUGACAUACGAUGGAGCAAAGUGAAUGAUUGAGGACAGGAACAAUGACUUGUUUUAAGUAAUUUAUACGAGUUACCAGCAGACACUGUAGUUACUCUUACGUGCUCUACAGGGGCAGUAUAUUUUUUUAUUUUUUUUCAUAAACAUCCUUCUAGAAAUUCAAAUUUAAGUGAAUAUCUUUCUAAAAAUUUAAAUUUACGUACAUGUCCUUUUAAAAUUUAUAUUUAUUUUUCUACUCUUCUAAGAUAUUAUUUUUCUACAAAUGCCUUUAAUAUAACGGUUCUUCUAACACCAUUAAUAAAAACUAUAUUUAUUUUAAUUAAAAAUAAAAUAGAAUUUUAAAAUUAUUUUGUUCUUCUAUCGUCUUUUUUACAUCUACUCAUUAAGAGUAUUUUAGUCAUUUUAAUUUGAAACCGUUAUUUUUUUAACGACGUUAGAUGACAUGGAUAUAUAUGCAAAAAUAAAGAUAAAAAAGAAUAGAAUAGCAAAACAAGUUUUUUAUGAGGUUGUAUAUAUAUAUAUAUAUAUAUAUAUAUAUGUAUAUGCGCGCGUGACNNNNNNNNNNNNNNNNNNNNUAUAUAUAUAUAUAUAUAUAUAUAUAUAUAUAUAUGUAUGUAUGUAUAUAUGUAUGUAUGUAUGUGCGCGCGUGCAAAUAUUAAUUUUGGAAGGGUAUUCAUGAACAAUUCAAUAUUUAUGCAAAAAUAUCCAUAUUUUUUUAUCACUUAAAUUUUAAAAAAUAAUUGUUAGGUAUAUUAGAUCGAUAGUAUACACCAAUCUUAACGUGGGUUGCCUAGAUUGAGCUGUAGUCUAUCAAUUCUACCUGACCCAAUCCGACUGAUUUUUCUUGAUUUUGCAUUUCUAGCUAACUUAUUGCACCUUGGAUUUGAGAAGUACGUAACAAUAGUUCCAUCAGGAAAAAUAUUAGUGACCAUGUGUUAUAUCAACGCCUAAGUUACCAGUCCUACAUGGGAGUUAAUAAUUAGUUAAUUAAGUGGAAUUCGAGCCCUAAGUGACACUAUCUACAACCCGUCUAUCUCAAUAAUCCUUGAUUACCGCAUCGAACUGGUGAAUCGAGCAGAAUGAAUGAUCACUUGCUCUACUUUUCUAUCAUUUUUAGAGCAACUUCAUUUGAUCCAAACUAAUUCUAUUAAAUUCAACCUUAUGAUUUAAGUUAAAUCAAAACUCCAACAUGCACUUGAUUUUUUUUAUUUUUUAUUUUUAUUUUGGUGAAUAUGCACUCGAUUUGUUUAAACACCAUUUGAAGAAUUUGAUACAAACUUUGACCCCAAAAAAGUUACUAUCCAUUCAUACUGAAUUCAAACAGGCUCGAGUCGGUGCAGGUCAUCGGUUUGGGUCGGUUUUCCCCGCACACCUACUAACACUAAAAGACCAAGACAAAUCCACAAGUUGAAAACGCAUGCGAAAUCAUCACCAGCCCACUCCUGGGCUUCUAUAAAAAGGACCAUAUACCUCCACCUCAACUGCACUCAUCUCCCACUCCCACUGCCUCCUGUCCGCCAUGGCGAGGCUCAAGCUCAGGCUCACUGUAGCCACCCUCUUCCUCCUUCUCAUAGAGCUCUCCUCCCUCCUUCCCUCCUCCCUCGCCUGCCCCUACUGCAAGUUCCCACCCAAGCACCCCCCUAAGGUCAAGCCCUCCCCCACCCCCACCCGCACCCCAAACCCAAACCCCAUCUCAAACCCCCGCCGGUAGUCCAGCCUCCACUGCCACCCAUCGUAGGACCCAAACCUCCACCCCAUGUCAUACCUCCAAUGCCUCCAAUCGUGAAGCCUCCUCCCUACAUCAAACCCCCUCCAGUAGUCCGGCCUCCACUGCCACCCAUCGUCAAACGCCCACCCCAUGCCAAGCCGCCCCAUGUCAAGCCACCCCAUCUCAANNN